CCCGGCGUUGAAACGCCGGGCUAUUUUCGAUCGUCCCUGCGGGACG
rnacentral:sRNA from 1 species